rnacentral:rRNA from 1 species
AGUGAACGCUGGCGGUAGGCCUAACACAUGCAAGUCGAACGGCAGCACAGUAAGAGCUUGCUCUUACGGGUGGCGAGUGGCGGACGGGUGAGGAAUACAUCGGAAUCUACUUUUUCGUGGGGGAUAACGUAGGGAAACUUACGCUAAUACCGCAUACGACCUACGGGUGAAAGCAGGGGAUCUUCGGACCUUGCGCGAUUGAAUGAGCCGAUGUCGGAUUAGCUAGUUGGCGGGGUAAAGGCCCACCAAGGCGACGAUCCGUAGCUGGUCUGAGAGGAUGAUCAGCCACACUGGAACUGAGACACGGUCCAGACUCCUACGGGAGGCAGCAGUGGGGAAUAUUGGACAAUGGGCGCAAGCCUGAUCCAGCCAUACCGCGUGGGUGAAGAAGGCCUUCGGGUUGUAAAGCCCUUUUGUUGGGAAAGAAAAGCAGCAGGUUAAUACCCCGCUGUUCUGACGGUACCAAAAGAAUAGGCACCGGCUAACUUCGUG